CAGCAGUGAGGAAGGUGGAGUCGUUAAUAGCGGCCUCAUUUGACGUUAGCUGCAGAAGAAGCACCGGCUAACUCCGUGCCAGCAGCCGCGGUAAUACGGAGGGUGCGAGCGUUAAUCGGAAUUACUGGGCGUAAAGCGCAUGCAGGUGGUUUGUUAAGUUCAGAUGUGAAAGACCCGGGGCGUCAACCUCGGAAAUUGCAUUUGUAAACUAGGCAGACUAGAGUACUGUAGAGGGGGGUAGGAAGUUUCAGGUGUAGCGGUGAAAUAGCGUAGAGAUCUGAAGGAAUACCGGUGGCGAAGGCGGCCCCCUCGGACAGAUACUGACACUCAGAUGCGAAAGCGUGGGGAGCAAACAGGAUUAGAUACCCUGGUAG
rnacentral:rRNA from 1 species